GACGAACGCUGGCGGCGUGCUUAACACAUGCAAGUCGAACGGAAAGGCCCUGCUUUUGUGGGGUGCUCGAGUGGCGAACGGGUGAGUAACACGUGAGUAACCUGCCCUUGACUUUGGGAUAACGUCAGGAAACUGGGGCUAAUACCGGAUAGGAGCUCCUGCUGCAUGGUGGGGGUUGGAAAGUUUCGGCGGUUGGGGAUGGACUCGCGGCUUAUCAGCUUGUUGGUGGGGUAGUGGCUUACCAAGGCUUUGACGGGUAGCCGGCCUGAGAGGGUGACCGGCCACAUUGGGACUGAGAUACGGCCCAGACUCCUACGGGAGGCAGCAGUGGGGAAUAUUGCACAAUGGGCGGAAGCCGGAUGCAGCAACGCCGCGUGCGGGAUGACGGCCUUCGGGUUGUAAACCGCUUUCGCCUGUGACGAAGCGUGAGUGACGGUAAUGGGUAAAGAAGCACCGGCUAACUACGU
rnacentral:rRNA from 1 species